AACGUAGGAGGCAAGCGUUAUCCGGAGUAACUGGGCGUAAAGGGCGGGUAGGUGGUUGUGUAAGUUGGUUAUGAAAGCUCCUGGCUAAACUGGGAGAGGUUGACCAAGACUGCAGAACUUGAGUGGAGAAGAGGUAAACGGAAUUCCGCGUGUGGUGGUGAAAUGCGUAGAGAUGCGGAAGAACACCAGUGGCGAAGGCGGUUUACUGGUCUCCAACUGACACUGAGCCGCGAAAGCAUGGGUAGCGAACGGG
rnacentral:rRNA from 1 species